UACGUAGGGGGCAAGCGUUGUCCGGAAUCAUUGGGCGUAAAGAGCGUGUAGGCGGCCUGGUAAGUCCGCUGUGAAAGUCCAGGGCUCAACCCUGGAAUGCCGGUGGAAACUGUCAGGCUCGAGUCCGGAAGAGGCGAGUGGAAUUCCUGGUGUAGCGGUGAAAUGCGCAGAUAUCAGGAGGAACACCAAUGGCGAAGGCAGCUCGCUGGGACGGUAACUGACGCUGAGACGCGAAAGCGUGGGGAGCAAACAGGAUUAGAAACC
rnacentral:rRNA from 1 species